AUUGAACGCUGGCGGCAUGCCUUACACAUGCAAGUCGAACGGCAGCACGGGAGCAAUCCUGGUGGCGAGUGGCGAACGGGUGAGUAAUACAUCGGAACGUGCCCAAUCGUGGGGGAUAACGCAGCGAAAGCUGUGCUAAUACCGCAUACGAUCUACGGAUGAAAGCAGGGGAUCGCAAGACCUUGCGCGAAUGGAGCGGC
rnacentral:rRNA from 1 species